rnacentral:rRNA from 1 species
CCUACGGGGGGCAGCAGUGGGGAAUAUUGCACAAUGGGCGCAAGCCUGAUGCAGCCAUGCCGCGUGUGUGAAGAAGGCCUUCGGGUUGUAAAGCACUUUCAGCGGGGAGGAAGGCGGUGAGGUUAAUAACCUCAUCGAUUGACGUUACCCGCAGAAGAAGCACCGGCUAACUCCGUGCCAGCAGCCGCGGUAAUACGGAGGGUGCAAGCGUUAAUCGGAAUUACUGGGCGUAAAGCGCACGCAGGCGGUCUGUCAAGUCGGAUGCGAAAUCCCCGGGCUCAACCUGGGAACUGCAUUCGAAACUGGCAGGCUAGAGUCUUGUAGAGGGGGGUAGAAUUCCAGGUGUAGCGGUGAAAUGCGUAGAGAUCUGGAGGAAUACCGGUGGCGAAGGCGGCCCCCUGGACAAAGACUGACGCUCAGGUGCGAAAGCGUGGGGAGCAAACAGGAUUAGAUACCCGAGUAGUC